rnacentral:rRNA from 1 species
AUUGAACGCUGGCGGCAUGCCUUACACAUGCAAGUCGAACGGCGGCGCGGGUGCUCGCACCUGGUGGCGAGUGGCGAACGGGUGAGUAAUACAUCGGAACGUACCUUAUCGUGGGGGAUAACGCAGCGAAAGCUGUGCUAAUACCGCAUACGCCCUGAGGGGGAAAGCGGGGGAUCGCAAGACUUCGCGCGAUUAGAGCGGGCGAUGCCUGAUUAGCUAGUUGGUGGUGUAAAAGCCCACCAAGGCGACGAUCAGUAGCUGGUGUGAGAGGACAAUCAGCCACACUGGGACUGAGACACGGCCCAGAGUCCUACGGGAGGCAGCAGUGGGGAAUUUUGGACAAUGGGGGCAACCCUGAUCCAGCAAUGCCGCGUGAGUGAAGAAGGCCUUCGGGUUGUAAAGCUCUUUUGUCAGGGAAGAAACACCGGCUCUAACACAGUCCGGGAAUGACGGUACCUGAAGAAUAAGCACCGGCUAACUACGUGCCAGCCGCCGCCGUAA